GACGAACGCUGGCGGCGUGCUUAACACAUGCAAGUCGAACGAAGUGGCGAACGGGUGAGUAACGCGUAAUCAACCUGCCCUUCAGAGGGGGACAACAGUUGGAAACGACUGCUAAUACCGCAAACUGAAGGCGGGGAUUGCGUUUUAUUGGCUGGUUGGAGGGGUAACGGCCCACCAAGGCGAUGAUCAGUAGCCGGUCUGAGAGGGUGAACGGCCACACUGGGACUGAGACACGGCCCAGACUCCUACGGGAGGCAGCAGUGGGGAAUCUUCCGCAAUGGACGAAAGUCUGACGGAGCAACGCCGCGUGAGUGAUGACGGCCUUCGGGUUGUAAAGCUCUGUUAAUCGGGACGCGGUACCGGAAUAGAAAGCCACGGCUAACUACGUGCCAGCAGCCGCGGUAAUAC
rnacentral:rRNA from 1 species